GAUCCUGUAGCUCAAUUGGUUAGAGCGCAGUCCUUAUAAGGCUGAGGUUGUGGGUUCAAGCCCCACCAGGAUCA
rnacentral:tRNA from 1 species